CACGUAGGCGGUCUUGUCGGUCAGAUGUGAAAGCCCAGGGCUCAACCCUGGACGUGCAUUUGAAACAGCAAGACUUGAGUACGGGAGAGGAAAGCGGAAUUCCUGGUGUAGAGGUGAAAUUCGUAGAUAUCAGGAGGAACACCGAUGGCGAAGGCAGCUUUCUGGACCGAUACUGACGCUGAGGCGCGAAGGCGUGGGUAGCGAACAGGAUUAGAUACCCUGGUAGUCC
rnacentral:rRNA from 1 species